AAUUUGUUCUAACUUGUGUUGGAUUGUGAGUCAAUUUUGACAGUUACUCUGUGAAAGAAUGAAUGAAAACGAAAAAAAAAACAAAUUGUCAUUAAAAUUCUUGUUGUCAUGGCCGGUCGGUGGAUUUUCAUAAUAAGUAACAACGUAAAAAGUUUAAAAACCAAUAUUAUGAGUUCCGCAACUCGGCCGUCGUACCGCCAGACGAAAUUACUUGUAGAAUAUCUAGAAAGUUACCCAGGAAUGGCCAGGGAUCUUCUUAAGACCGACCUAGGGAAGUUAAAAUUAUGAGAAAAUAACAUCAAUGGCCUCGACCUUAAAUGCGGUCGAAGGGUCUUGAUAAGAUAGACGUAACGUAAAACUGAGGACUGCUGUGGUAAAUGGCAGGAUCAUAACAUACUUAAAGUCGAGGUGCAUCAUACCCAGGCCUAAACUAUCAAGCCGCUCAGCUCAUCCUCACAGCACCUCACAGCAUAGAUCCAGCCGCCGCUACCAAGUUGAUGUAGAAGUAGACAGAGUGAUGGCCAUAGAGGAAAAGCAGGGAGAGGCCGAACUGCUGACAGCAUGGGCUAAUGCCCUAAAGCCUAAAGGGGACCUUGCAGCAGCUGCCCGUGAUGGAGUCAAUAUCCUCAUAGAAAUUGCGCAACAGUUAUCAAGAAAUACAAAGUUAAGGGCAUCUAGACCCAUAACCAUCGUCACUAGUUAUGGGUCCAGAUGCUGUUGUGCAGUAGUGGAUGAUGUGAUGAUUUAAGUAGAAAUUUAUAUUUCCUGUGACUAAAAUAUUAUUUUAUAUUAGGUAAUACCUAUGUUGAUUUAAAUAUAUGAACAUUUUUGUUUUAAGAAAUGUUGAAUAAUAUUAGAAAAAGUGUUCCUAUGUUAAUAUGUCCCUUAUAUAUUAUAAGUUUGUAAGUAUUUCAACAGUGGUGGUGAAAUUAUUAUUCUACAAAAGUAUGUCGGUAUUAUUAUAAAGAUAAAGAAUUCUGAAACUU